AGUGACGAUAGCCUAGGAGAUACACCUGUACCCAUGCCGAACACAGAAGUUAAGCCCUAGAACGCCGGAAGUAGUUGGGGGUUGCCCCCUGUGAGAUAGGGUAGUCGCUUAGC
rnacentral:rRNA from 2 species